AUACUACGCAGUGGUAGCAUUCAUUUUAAAAUUCGCUGUUAUGAACUAUGACGACCCGCUAUUGGCUCAAAGAACGUGGAUCUACGUUCUUUGAUUGGCUGCAACAGGCGGCGGCCAGCUGGACACACGCGGAACGGAAACUUGGUCCAUGGAGCUGAAAGUGAACGCGUCUCCUUCUGAGUUUGACAUUUAUUAUGAGUCUCCGAGACCAAAAAAGAAAAGGACGACAGACAUUAGAAGUUAUUUCGCUACCUCGGCUGAUACUCAGACAGCAGAGCAAGGGGCAGAGCAGAACGAUGGAGAGGUGGCUGGAGCUUCAGGGCUCCAGCAGGACUUGGAUCCAGAACACAGAGUCCAGAACCCAGUUUAAGGUGCAAACUGGUGACCACCAGACCGACGAUUCAUUAGAGCUGAAGGCCACAAGCAGAGCAACCUGGACUGUUGAUAACACCUGAGCAGCACCGCAGGCCGACUGACGCCGCAGACUGACGGACGCCGCGCAGUGUGGCUGCAGUAAACCAGGCAGAAGGAAGAACUCAGCACUGAGAGCUGAACAUGAUCACACUGUCCUAUUGGCAAACAUUUCUAAAAAUUAUUUUUAAAAAUUGGUCUUAAAAAUUUUCUAAUUUUAUGACCAGCAGCUGUACAUGUGUGUGAACUGAAAUAUUCUUUUGUAAAAUGCUUUGAAAUGAGAUUUGUUGUGAA